rnacentral:rRNA from 1 species
UGUAAGCGUAUACCAAAGUUGUUGCAGUUAAAACGCUCGUAGUCGGAAUUUGGCAGUUCCGGAUGUGUGCACGUCGUGUGCGCACUUCGCGGGGAUUGCUUUUGUGGUCUUGCGUAGGAUGAGGCACUUUUAUUAGUGAACGUCCUCACGCAACCACUUUUUACUGUGAGAAAAUCAGAGUGCUCAAAGCAGGCAUUUGCCGUGAAUGUAUUAGCAUGGAAUAAUAGAAUAGGACUUGGUUCUAUUUUGUUGGUGUGUUGGGACUGAGUAAUGAUUAAGAGGGACAGUUGGGGGCAGUUGUAUUUCGGUGCUAGAGGUGAAAUUCUUAGAUUACCGAAAGACAAACUGCUGCGAAAGCGUCUGCCAAGGAUGUUUUCAUUGA